AUUGAACGCUGGCGGCAGGCCUAACACAUGCAAGUCGAGCGAGCGGCGGACGGGCGAGUAAUGUAUGGGGAUGUGCGUGAUCGAGGGGGAUAACUACUGGAAACGGUGGCUAAUACCGCAUACUAUCCGAUGGGCCCCCAUGGGUUUAGCUAGUAGGUGGGGUAAAGGCUCACCUAGGCGACGAUCCCUAGCUGGUCUGAGAGGAUGAUCAGCCACACUGGGACUGAGACACGGCCCAGACUCCUACGGGAGGCAGCAGUGGGGAAUAUUGCACAAUGGGCGCAAGCCUGAUGCAGCCAUGCCGCGUGUAUGAAGAAGGCCUUAGGGUUGUAAAAUACUGUCGGCAGGGAAGCGUUACCCACAGAAGAAGCACCGGCUAACUCCGUGCCAGCAGCCGCGGUAAUUC
rnacentral:rRNA from 1 species